GGGUUGUGAGGUUAAGCGACUAAGCGUACACGGUGGAUGCCCUGGCAGUCAGAGGCGAUGAAGGGCGUGCUAAUCUGCGAUAAGCGCCGGUAAGGUGAUAUGAACCGUUAUAACCGGCGAUACCCGAAUGGGGAAACCCAGUGUGACUCGUCACACUAUCAUUAACUGAAUCCAUAGGUUAAUGAGGCGAACCGGGGGAACUGAAACAUCUAAGUACCCCGAGGAAAAGAAAUCAACCGAGAUUCCCCCAGUAGCGGCGAGCGAACGGGGAGGAGCCCAGAGCCUGAAUCAGCAUGUGUGUUAGUGGAAGCGUCUGGAAAGGCGCGCGAUACAGGGUGACAGCCCCGUACACAAAAGCGCAUGUGCUGUGAGCUCGAUGAGUAGGGCGGGACACGUGGUAUCCUGUCUGAAUAUGGGGGGACCAUCCUCCAAGGCUAAAUACUCCUGACUGACCGAUAGUGAACCAGUACCGUGAGGGAAAGGCGAAAAGAACCCCGGCGAGGGGAGUGAAAAAGAACCUGAAACCGUGUACGUACAAGCAGUGGGAGNNNNNNNNNNNNNNNNNNNNNGCGUACCUUUUGUAUAAUGGGUCAGCGACUUAUAUUCUGUAGCAAGGUUAACCGAAUAGGGGAGCCGGAGGGAAACCGAGUCUUAAUUGGGCGUUAAGUUGCAGGGUAUAGACCCGAAACCCGGUGAUCUAGCCAUGGGCAGGUUGAAGGUUGGGUAACACUAACUGGAGGACCGAACCGACUAAUGUUGAAAAAUUAGCGGAUGACCUGUGGCUGGGGGUGAAAGGCCAAUCAAACCGGGAGAUAGCUGGUUCUCCCCGAAAGCUAUUUAGGUAGCGCCUCGUGAAUUCAUCUCCGGGGGUAGAGCACUGUUUCGGCUAGGGGGCCAUCCCGGCUUACCAACCCGAUGCAAACUGCGAAUACCGGAGAAUGUUAUCACGGGAGACACACGGCGGGUGCUAACGUCCGUCGUGAAGAGGGAAACAACCCAGACCGCCAGCUAAGGUCCCAAAGUCAUGGUUAAGUGGGAAACGAUGUGGGAAGGCCCAGACAGCCAGGAUGUUGGCUUAGAAGCAGCCAUCAUUUAAAGAAAGCGUAAUAGCUCACUGGUCGAGUCGGCCUGCGCGGAAGAUGUAACGGGGCUAAACCAUGCACCGAAGCUGCGGCAGCGACACUGUGUGUUGUUGGGUAGGGGAGCGUUCUGUAAGCCUGCGAAGGUGGCCUGUGAGGGUUGCUGGAGGUAUCAGAAGUGCGAAUGCUGACAUAAGUAACGAUAAAGCGGGUGAAAAGCCCGCUCGCCGGAAGACCAAGGGUUCCUGUCCAACGUUAAUCGGGGCAGGGUGAGUCGACCCCUAAGGCGAGGCCGAAAGGCGUAGUCGAUGGGAAACGGGUUAAUAUUCCCGUACUUGGUGUUACUGCGAAGGGGGGACGGAGAAGGCUAUGUUGGCCGGGCGACGGUUGUCCCGGUUUAAGCGUGUAGGUGUGUGUUCCAGGUAAAUCCGGUUCACUUUAACACUGAGGCGUGACGACGAGGCACUACGGUGCUGAAGCAACAAAUGCCCUGCUUCCAGGAAAAGCCUCUAAGCAUCAGGUAACAUCAAAUCGUACCCCAAACCGACACAGGUGGUCAGGUAGAGAAUACCAAGGCGCUUGAGAGAACUCGGGUGAAGGAACUAGGCAAAAUGGUGCCGUAACUUCGGGAGAAGGCACGCUGACACGUAGGUGAAGUGAUUUACUCAUGGAGCUGAAGUCAGUCGAAGAUACCAGCUGGCUGCAACUGUUUAUUAAAAACACAGCACUGUGCAAACACGAAAGUGGACGUAUACGGUGUGACGCCUGCCCGGUGCCGGAAGGUUAAUUGAUGGGGUCAGCGCAAGCGAAGCUCCUGAUCGAAGCCCCGGUAAACGGCGGCCGUAACUAUAACGGUCCUAAGGUAGCGAAAUUCCUUGUCGGGUAAGUUCCGACCUGCACGAAUGGCGUAAUGAUGGCCAGGCUGUCUCCACCCGAGACUCAGUGAAAUUGAACUCGCUGUGAAGAUGCAGUGUACCCGCGGCAAGACGGAAAGACCCCGUGAACCUUUACUAUAGCUUGACACUGAACAUUGAGCCUUGAUGUGUAGGAUAGGUGGGAGGCUUUGAAGUGUGGACGCCAGUCUGCAUGGAGCCGACCUUGAAAUACCACCCUUUAAUGUUUGAUGUUCUAACGUGGACCCGUUACCCGGGUUGCGGACAGUGUCUGGUGGGUAGUUUGACUGGGGCGGUCUCCUCCUAAAGAGUAACGGAGGAGCACGAAGGUUGGCUAAUCCUGGUCGGACAUCAGGAGGUUAGUGCAAUGGCAUAAGCCAGCUUGACUGCGAGCGUGACGGCGCGAGCAGGUGCGAAAGCAGGUCAUAGUGAUCCGGUGGUUCUGAAUGGAAGGGCCAUCGCUCAACGGAUAAAAGGUACUCCGGGGAUAACAGGCUGAUACCGCCCAAGAGUUCAUAUCGACGGCGGUGUUUGGCACCUCGAUGUCGGCUCAUCACAUCCUGGGGCUGAAGUAGGUCCCAAGGGUAUGGCUGUUCGCCAUUUAAAGUGGUACGCGAGCUGGGUUUAGAACGUCGUGAGACAGUUCGGUCCCUAUCUGCCGUGGGCGCUGGAGAACUGAGGGGGGCUGCUCCUAGUACGAGAGGACCGGAGUGGACGCAUCACUGGUGUUCGGGUUGUCAUGCCAAUGGCACUGCCCGGUAGCUAAAUGCGGAAGAGAUAAGUGCUGAAAGCAUCUAAGCACGAAACUUGCCCCGAGAUGAGUUCUCCCUGAGACUUAAAGUCUCCUGAAGGAACGUUGAAGACGACGACGUUGAUAGGCCGGGUGUGUAAGCGCAGCGAUGCGUUGAGCUAACCGGUACUAAUGAACCGUGAGGCUUAACCUUACAACGCCGAAG
rnacentral:rRNA from 1 species